rnacentral:misc_RNA from 1 species
AAAAACCAAAUAAUUCCCCACCCCACCCCCACUCCAUCCCUUACCUACAACCUCAACUCAAAAAACCAUCAACAUAUAAUACCCAAAACCCUCACCAAAAACCAACCCACUAUACCCCCCUAAAACAUUUCUUUAUAAAUUAUCCAUACACAACACACUUAAUCAUUAUAUAAAAAAAAAUCCUAUAACAAAAACGAAACCG